CAAUGAGUCAGGCCCAAACCCAACCAUGGCGGCCAAUAAGCAAAUAUCCUGCUGAAAUAACAUGCCUAAGCCAAACGCAUAAGCUGAAACGCUUAUCAGUAAGCAGCACAAAACGCUCAUGAAUGUCGAACAUCGCGUUCUUCAUCCUUGCUCGUAUCCAGUCCAAUCACCAGCAUCAUCGUGUUUCAGAUUCUUCUGCUCGCGUCAAUCGUUGUCGUGCUUCAGCAACCACCGUGGAGCAUUGCGUUUUCAUAAUUGUUUAAAGCUCCAAAUCCGAUCGCAGCGAGCCACACGAAGAAAAGCGCCCUAAUCAUCAACUCAUAUUCCGAAUUCUCCAUCACCAGCUCCGUUCAGAAUCGCAACCAUACACACGCAAAAAACGAAAAAACGACGUCAAGAAAAGUGGAUCCAGGGCGUACCGGAUGGAUGCUUCGAUGGUAAAUAAGUAAUCAAGCAAGGCAUAAUCCAAGCUAGUGGAAAUCAAUUAUGGUGAAGAUGAUGGAUGAAGAAAGAUGAAGAUGAUGGAUAGGGUUUUAGUAAUCGAAGUAAUAUUGACUUUGGUCAACAAUUGACCAAAAAGUCAACUCUUACCAAAACUCCAUUUUUGUAAAUGUUUGUAUUUAUGGACAAUGUAACUUGUGAUUUGGAUGAAAUGUAAUAAAUAGUGAAAAGUUUAUUUAUAUAA